CGUAUUCUUGCAGCCGAACCACCAGUGCGCCGUGGGCCUUGGGAAAGGCGGCGUUGCCGUAUCCACCUGUUCCGGAGAAAUCGGGUAACUGCAGGUCGUUCAACUCAAGUGAGCUGCCGAGCUGAUUGCAAGUCCCUGGAGAAUCGCUGUAAACAAAUAAGAAAACAAUCAGAAUCAAGUGCGACAGGCACUUAACUGGCUCCCAUUGUCCAUCAUAAAGAACGCCAAAGUGGGCGUGGGCGUGGAUGGCAGUGCCCUGCCCGCCCCAAGGGUCUUCCCGCUUCCGCCUUUGGGGCGCACCCCACAGGCAACCACUCGAAACUUGUAUGUGUGUGUGUGUGUGUGUGAAAACCGCUUGAUUAAAUGCACAUUUGAUUGUCACUGG